rnacentral:piRNA from 1 species
CUGUGGUGACUCAAACUUGAUACC